rnacentral:rRNA from 1 species
UGGGGAAUAUUGGACAAUGGGCGAAAGCCUGAUCCAGCCAUGCCGCGUGUGUGAAGAAGGUCUUCGGAUUGUAAAGCACUUUAAGUUGGGAGGAAGGGCAUUAACCUAAUACGUUAGUGUUUUGACGUUACCGACAGAAUAAGCACCGGCUAACUCUGUGCCAGCAGCCGCGGUAAUACAGAGGGUGCAAGCGUUAAUCGGAAUUACUGGGCGUAAAGCGCGCGUAGGUGGUUUGUUAAGUUGGAUGUGAAAUCCCCGGGCUCAACCUGGGAACUGCAUUCAAAACUGACUGACUAGAGUAUGGUAGAGGGUGGUGGAAUUUCCUGUGUAGCGGUGAAAUGCGUAAAUAUAGGAAGGAACACCAGUGGCGAAGGCGACCACCUGGACUAAUACUGACACUGAGGUGCGAAAGCGUGGGGAGCAAACA